CACACACUUUAAGGGGAGUGCAUGCAGAUUACACUUUACCCAGGUUGCUUCAGUUGGGAAGAAAUGUUCGGAGGAGCCAAAGAUAACAACCGUAGAGCCUCUCCCUUCCCUGCCCCUGGCAGUGCCUCCUGUCACCGUGCAUCUCUCCUGUCUUAUCCUGCCCAUUCUGCAGGCCACUAACUAUUUGCCUGUUCGGGCCCAAACAGAAUCGCUUGACCAGUGGUGGAGACAGAAAGAAAGAUCCAAAGUGCGUGAGAGCACAUUCUGAUGGCCUGCCCGCCUCCCUUUCAGGAAGAACAUUCUUUGUAGCUGGCUGCCAUGUUGGUCAUGACCGCACUACCUCCCUCUGGACAUUCUGAAUAACAUCUGCCUUUCAUUUGACCUCACAACAACAUUGGGAGGCAGGUGCUACAAUUAUCCCCUUUUGACAGGUGAAGGUGCCCUUUUGUUGCCAGUUCAGUGGGUCCAGGUGGUUGAGUAUCAGAGUGUUUCAUCUCAUUUCCCUUUGGAGUUGCUGGACAGGCAGGAAGAUCCAGAUAUGUGACACAGGCUCAUGACAAUCUUUUUGGUGGAAGAUUGUGGCAGAAAUGGAGAACCACAUCCCAUUUAAAGAC
ensembl:lncRNA